rnacentral:rRNA from 1 species
UACGUAGGGUGCGAGCGUUGUCCGGAAUUAUUGGGCGUAAAGGGCUCGUAGGCGGUUUGUCGCGUCGGGGAGUGAAAAACCUUGGGCUUAACUCAGGGCUUGCUUUCGAUACGGGCAGACUAGAGGUAUGCAGGGGAGAACGGAAUUCCUGGUGUAGCGGUGAAAUGCGCAGAUAUCAGGAGGAACACCGGUGGCGAAGGCGGUUCUCUGGGCAUGAUCUGACGCUGAGGAGCGAAAGUGUGGGGAGCGAACAGG